AUGGAGGACGGUGACGGCGGCGAAGGCCUCCGCCACCACGCCAUCCGGCUCCCGCUCGCAGUUGCAGCAAUGGAGGGCUCGGGCUCGGAGAUCACCAGCAACGGAGGGCCAAGCGUCUCGCUGCGCCAGAAAGCGUCUUCGCUCAUGGCCUCCUCGGCAGCGGCAUACCGCAGCAAGCCCGCCUCCUUCUGGGCGCUCCUCGCGCUCAGUGGCGGCGCGAUGCUCACGGCGUUCCCGGCGGCCAGCCUGCUCUCGCGCCUCUACUACAACGGAGGCGGCCAGAGCAAGUGGAUCCUCUCGUGGUCCGCCGUCGCCGGCUGGCCCAUCCCGGCGCUGCUGCUGCUCCCCUGCUACCUCUUCACCGACGCGUCGCCGACGUGGCCGCCGUCGCCGUGGCUCUGCUUCUGGUACGCCCUGCUCGGCCUGCUCAGCGCCGCCGACAACCUCAUGUACGCCUGGGCCUACGCGUACCUGCCGGCCUCCACGGCGUCCCUCGUCGCCGCGUCCUCGCUCGCCUUCUCCGCCGUGUUCGGCCGCCUCAUCGUGGGGAAGAAGAACAGGAUAGGCCUGUCCACGCUGAACGCCAUCGUGGUGAUCACCGCCGGCGUGGUGAUCAUCGCGCUGGACUCGGGGUCCGACCGGUACCCGGGGAUCACGGGCCGGCAGUACGCGCUCGGGUUCGCGCUGGACGUGGCCGGGUCGGCGCUCCACGGCCUCAUCUUCGCGCUCUCGGAGCUCGUCUUCGACAAGUACCUCAGCAACGGCAGCGGAGACGGUGCCGCCGCGACCCGCUUCCACAUGGUGCUGGAGCAGCAGGCGGCGGUGUCGCUGAGCGCGUUCGCGUUCACGUCGGCGGGGCUGGCGGCCACCGACGGGUUCGCGGCGAUGCGGCGGGAGGCCGCGGGGUUCAGUGCCGCAGGGGGAGGGAAGGCGGGGUACGCGAUGGUGAUGGGGUGGUCGGCGGCGACGUUCCAGUUGGGGGUGCUGGGGGCGACGGGGGUGGUGUACCUGGGGUCGACGGUGCUGGCCGGCGUGCUGAACGCGGUGAGGGUGCCGCUGACGAGCGUGGCGGCGGUGGUGUGGUUCCACGACCCCAUGAGCGGCUUCAAGAUCCUGUCGCUGGUGAUCACCGUGUGGGGGUUCGGGUCAUACAUGGUCGGCCAUUCGUCGGCCAAGAAAACGUCAGGAGGUUCGUCUCAAUAA
rnacentral:rRNA from 1 species